rnacentral:rRNA from 1 species
GGCGAGUGAAGCGGCAACAGCUCAAAUUUGAAAUCUGGCCCUCUCCGAGUUGUAAUUUGGAGAGAUGCUUCGGGUGGGCGCCGUCUAAGUUCCUUGGAACAGGACGUCACAGAGGGUGAGAAUCCCGUACGUGCCCGGUGCCCCUAUGUGAAGCUCUUUCGACGAGUCGAGUUGUUUGGGAAUGCAGCUCAAAAUGGGUGGUAAAUUUCACUAAAGCUAAAUACUGGCCAGAGACCGAUAGCGCACAAGUAGAGUGAUCGAAAGAUGAAAAGCACUUUGGAAAGAGAGUUAAACAGUACGUGAAAUUGUUGAAAGGAAGCGCUUGCAACCAGACUUGCGCGCGGUCGACAUCCGGUGUCGCACCUCCAUCGGGCCCGCGCAGGCCAGCAUCGGCUGGGUGGCUGACAAGGCCCUCGGAAUGUGGCUCCUCGGGAGUGUAUAGCCCGAGGCGCAAUGCAGCCCACCUGGACCGAGGACCGCGCUUCCGCAGGAUGCUGGCGUAAUGGUUGCAAGCGACCCGUCUUGAAACACGGACCAAGGAGUCUAACAUCUAUGCGAGUGUUUGGGUGUCAAACCCAUACGCGCAAUGAAAGUGAACGGAGGUGAGAACCUGGGCGCAUCAUCGACCGAUCCUGAUGUCGGAUGGAUUUGAGUAAGAGCAUAGCUGUUGGGACCCGAAAGAUGGUGAACUAUGCCUGAAUA